GUGGUGGGCGGGAAGAGCAACUGUGACAGAUGUAAAUCUUCGAGCGAAUUUGAGAGUGGGAAAGGAAUCAGAAGAAAAACCAAAGCAGGACUUUGGAAAAGCCGCAUUCUCUGGAACAUAUGAGAAUGAUGAGGUGAUGUUACUUGGUGAGGAUGGACAAAGGAGUUUCUGAUAUUUUUAGCUUUGUGAUUUGAUACCUGUGAGAGUAUAAAAAUAUAGUAAAAGAUUUUUAAAAGUAG